rnacentral:rRNA from 1 species
AAGUCCCUACGGGAGGCAGCAGUGAGGAAUAUUGGUCAAUGGGCGGAAGCCUGAACCAGCCAAGUCGCGUGAGGGACUAAGGCCCUGCGGGUCGUAAACCUCUUUUGCCGGGGAGCAGUGGUCCGGACGCGUCCGGACCGGGAGAGUACCCGGAGAAAAAGCAUCGGCUAACUCCGUGCCAGCAGCCGCGGUAAUACGGAGGAUCCGAGCGUUAUCCGGAUUUAUUGGGUUUAAAGGGAGCGUAGAUGGGUUGUUAAGUCAGUUGUGAAAGUUUGCGGCUCAACCGUAAAAUUGCAAUUGAUACU